CUUAAGUUGAGAGACUGAUUCCGUGUGUCAGGCUCACUGCACCCGUCUUCUUCCCAACAACUUUUUUCUUCUUUUUCUUUCCCCCGCGACAGAGGAAAACCCUAGGGUUUUAGUUUUCCUUCCUUUGUCGUGUUUUUCUUUAUGGGUCUUCGGGCUCCUUCAUUCAAACGGCCACAGCAGGAGAAGUACUCACGGAUUUCUCACUGUCGGGUUCUUCACCGCCGCCGAAAACCGCAUACGCAAAUCUGUCUGUAAAAGAGAGGAGCACCCAUACAGAGCAAUGGUAGAAAUAGAAAGUUUAGAUUCAAACAUGAGAAUCGCAGACAACAACUCCACUGGUUUAGCCGGAACAAAUUCAAAAGUAAAACAAAACCCCACUGUUUUGACCAGCACAAUUUUAGAUCUCUCAAAUCUGGCCCCCGACAUUAAGGCCAGCAUGUUUUAUGCAAAAACUGCAUGUCAUCAUUGACCUUACCUCAAACGAAGGCAUGUUGAACAAAACGCCCUCAACAAAGAUAAAUAUUAUUGCACCCACUGCAAAAAGAGUGGACACCCGCUGGAGAGGUGUUUUAAAGCGGACCCAUGAAAGGUUGUUUGCUCCAACUGUAACGUUCCGGGGCGGAUUGCUUGGACAUGUUGCAGGCCACCUGGGCAGUCAAAAGGUGUUUUAAAGCAGACACAGGAAAGUAUGAGUGCACCUCAACAAGAAAUUAUGCAAAUUCCGGAAAAAGUAGAAAAUGGAAGUCGCCACGAUUCUCUCCUUCACCACUCCACGAGAUUGUUGCAGAUUGGUCAUGGUGUCUGAAGUCUUGAGGUCGGCCAUGGAGUCUGAUAUUGUCUGGGAGAGGUUUCUACCACCGGAUUAUAAUGAACUUCUCUCCAGGUUGGUGACUCCUCUCAAGUUCUCUUCCAAGAAGGAGCUUUUUCUCCCGCUCUGCAACUGGGUUCUCAUCGACGGUGGCAACAAAGUAAAUUAAAACCAACUCCUCUCCUUUCUUUUUCUCAGAAAACAAACAGAAGAUCAUUCGAGAAAUGAAUCGUUUUAUUCGUAUUAAUUGAUUUUGCCGUUCCUAAUCAAUGAAUGAUCUGGGUUUUUUCUUUUUAAUAGAAGAGAUCCUGAUUAAUAUAUACUUGUCGUACUCUUUUUUUGUGGGAAACAAACAGAGAAUAAUGGAAAAAAGGAAAUGAGUUUAUUCGUACCCGUUGAUUUUGAGUUAUCAAAUCAACAGAAUGUAUUGGGUUUUUGAUAAAAAUUUGACAGGUGACAAGGGUGACACCAUGAAAAUUGGUCAAUAAGUUUUUUCGAUUAUGGGUUUGUUCAUACUUUUUCUUCGCUGUAAAAAACAGAGCUUCAAAUUAGAGAAGUCAUCUGGGAAGAAGUGCUUCACACUGUCUGCUAGAGAAUCCGAUGGAGCAAUGAUCCAAUGAGCUGGGGCCGGGAGCCCUCAAAUGAAUCAAGGUUCCCAGGACUUGCCUGCCUUCUCCUCUAACUACUCUCAACUCAAGCACAAAGGCAACUGGCUUUUUGAAGGGUAAAAACUUCCACCUUUUUUUGGAGAUGUAUUGCUUGCACAAGGAGAAUCCCAAGGUCUACACAGUUGAGAGGCUUGCCAAGGAUUAUAGCAUUAUGAGGGAGGAGCAGUUACAUGCCAUUCUUUGGCAGAAGGAGCCUGAAGAGGAAGAGGAGAAAAAUCUUGGUCAUCCCUUGGAUGAUUCUGUAGAGCUCUUGCUUGACACCUGCCCAGAGUGAGGUUUUAAUUAUCAGCUAUCUUCGUAUUUAAGCUUAUUAAUUUAGGAGCUAAUGAAGUUGUUUCUUAUAAAUUUCCUCGAAAUUUUUAACUUUUAUAGUCCUAAUAAAUUGAUUUUCAUUUCUGAUUA